rnacentral:rRNA from 1 species
UGGGGAAUAUUGGACAAUGGGGGCAACCCUGAUCCAGCCAUGCCGCGUGUGUGAAGAAGGCCUUUUGGUUGUAAAGCACUUUAAGCAGGGAGGAGAGGCUAAUGGUUAAUACCCAUUAGAUUAGACGUUACCUGCAGAAUAAGCACCGGCUAACUCUGUGCCAGCAGCCGCGGUAAUACAGAGGGUGCGAGCGUUAAUCGGAAUUACUGGGCGUAAAGCGAGUGUAGGUGGCUCAUUAAGUCACAUGUGAAAUCCCCGGGCUUAACCUGGGAACUGCAUGUGAUACUGGUGGUGCUAGAAUAUGUGAGAGGGAAGUAGAAUUCCCAGGUGUAGCGGUGAAAUGCGUAGAGAUCUGGAGGAAUACCGAUGGCGAAGGCAGCUUCCUGGCAUAAUAUUGACACUGAGAUUCGAAAGCGUGGGUAGCAAAACAGGAUUAGAUACCCUGGUAGUCCACGCCGUAAACGAUGUCUACUAGCCGUUGGGGUCCUUGAGACUUUAGUGGCGCAGUUAACGCGAUAAGUAGACCGCCUGGGGGAGUACGGCC